rnacentral:sRNA from 1 species
AGUGACGCGACGGCGGGCGCGCGCGGCGCAUUUCCGCCUCUGGCGAAUGGCUCGUCUGUAGUGCACGCCGCGGGCCCAGCUGCGACCCCGGCCCCGCCCCCGGGACCCCGGCCAUGGACGAACUGUUCCCCCUCAUCUUCCCGGCAGAGCCAGCCCAGGCCUCUGGCCCCUAUGUGGAGAUCAUUGAGCAGCCCAAGCAGCGGGGCAUGCGCUUCCGCUACAAGUGCGAGGGGCGCUCCGCGGGCAGCAUCCCAGGCGAGAGGAGCACAGAUACCACCAAGACCCACCCCACCAUCAAGGUCAGCACUGCGCCAGGGUGUGCGGGGAAGGGACUGUGGAACCCCAGCCCUCUGUGUUUGGGAGUCAGGUUUGGAUGUCUGGGCCUCUGUACUUUGGACAGAUCAAUGGCUACACAGGACCAGGGACAGUGCGCAUCUCCCUGGUCACCAAGGACCCUCCUCACCGGCCUCACCCCCACGAGCUUGUAGGAAAGGACUGCCGGGAUGGCUUCUAUGAGGCUGAGCUCUGCCCGGACCGCUGCAUCCACAGGUGAGGUCCCUGCAGGCUAGGAGGCCCAGCAUGAGGGGACAGGAGGUGGGCUAU